GCAAGUCUGGUGCCAGCAGCCGCGGUAAUUCCAGCUCCAAUAGCGUAUAUUAAAGUUGUUGUGGUUAAAAAGCUCGUAGUUGAACCUUGGGCCUGGCUGGCCGGUCCGCCUCACCGCGUGUACUGGUCCGGCCGGGCCCUUCCCUCUGUGGAACCCCAUGCCCUUCACUGGGUGUGGCGGGGAAACAGGACUUUUACUGUGAAAAAAUUAGAGUGCUCCAGGCAGGCCUAUGCUCGAAUACAUUAGCAUGGAAUAAUAGAAUAGGACGUGUGGUUCUAUUUUGUUGGUUUCUAGGACCGCCGUAAUGAUUAAUAGGGACAGUCGGGGGCAUCAGUAUUCAAUUGUCAGAGGUGAAAUUCUUGGAUUUAUUGAAGACUAACUACUGCGAAAGCAUUUGCCAA
rnacentral:rRNA from 1 species